rnacentral:rRNA from 1 species
UCGAGCGAGCGGAACCACAGAUUUACUUCGGUAAUGACGUUGGGCCAGCGAGCGGCGGAUGGGUGAGUAACACGUGGGGAACCUGCCCCUAAGUCUGGGAUACCAUUUGGAAACAGGUGCUAAUACCGGAUAAUAAAGCAGAUCGCAUGAUCAGCUUUUGAAAGGCGGCGUAAGCUGUCGCUAAGGGAUGGCCCCGCGGUGCAUUAGCUAGUUGGUAAGGUAACGGCUUACCAAGGCGACGAUGCAUAGCCGAGUUGAGAGACUGAUCGGCCACAUUGGGACUGAGACACGGCCCAAACUCCUACGGGAGGCAGCAGUAGGGAAUCUUCCACAAUGGACGCAAGUCUGAUGGAGCAACGCCGCGUGAGUGAAGAAGGUUUUCGGAUCGUAAAGCUCUGUUGUUGGUGAAGAAGGAUAGAGGUAGUAACUGGCCUUUAUUUGACGGUAAUCAACCAGAAAGUCACGGCUAACUACGUGCCAGCAGCCGCGGUAAUACGUAGGUGGCAAGCGUUGUCCGGAUUUAUUGGGCGUAAAGCGAGCGCAGGCGGAAAAAUAAGUCUAAUGUGAAAGCCCUCGGCUUAACCGAGGAACUGCAUCGGAAACUGUUUUUCUUGAGUGCAGAAGAGGAGAGUGGAACUCCAUGUGUAGCGGUGGAAUGCGUAGAUAUAUGGAAGAACACCAGUGGCGAAGGCGGCUCUCUGGUCUGCAACUGACGCUGAGGCUCGAAAGCAUGGGUAGCGAACAGGAUUAGAUACCCUGGUAGUCCAUGCCGUAAACGAUGAGUGCUAAGUGUUGGGAGGUUUCCGCCUCUCAGUGCUGCAGCUAACGCAUUAAGCACUCCGCCUGGGGAGUACGACCGCAAGGUUGAAACUCAAA